AUUCUGUCCACGGUGACAGCCUUAACAUUUGCCAGAGCGCUGGACGCCGCUGCAGAAAUGGCAUCGCCCACCCUGAGAGCGAGAAGAAAAUGAAAGCAGAGGGGUUCUGUGACAGCUCUUGGAAAUUGCUGAUGCAAUAGAUGAAGUAGGAGUGGAGCAGGAUUCUGGAGAAGUGAGGCUGCAGCACAUUGGUGAGGAGACCCCCCCAGGUGUGACUUCUCCAUCCAGCAGCACGCAGGCACUCCCUUUCCUUGCCUGGCUCCUUCUUUCUGCUGUGUAGUAUUCCACUGCGAACUCCCCACUAAUUGGUGUGUUUUUCUUCUGGGGUUCGCUGUGUGGUCUCCAGUUUGAGCAGCCUUGAGGAUUCCCAGUUCAAUGUGAUUUGAGCCUUUGAUUAUCCAGGAGCUUAUUAGUAUCUCUGUGAGCACCCAGACCUCCAUAGCAACAGUGAGAAAGGUGAGAAAGGACCCAGCUUGCCCAUUAACCAUUGAUCUACACAUGGACCACUGAUCCUGCCAGCUUCUCAAAGAGUCCAGCUGACAACAAAGGUUUUGGGACAGAUGCAACACCACAAAGCCAGGUCCUCUCUUCCCCUUGCUCACUGAACAGCUCUGAUCCCUGAGGCACCACAUGCAUGACAUGGCCUUGGAGCAAUCACAGCAGGUCUAAGCUUUUAAGGGAGUCAACAUAUAAAAGACUCAGCCUAUGGUCUGUGCAUAAAAAAUUUUGAUACAUUCA